CCUACGGGUGACAGCAGUGAGGGAUAUUGGUCAAUGGGGGAAACCCUGAACCAGCAACGCCGCGUGAGGGAAGACGGUCUUCGGAUCGUAAACCUCUGUCCUCUGUGAAGAUAAUUACGGUAGCUGAUCAGCAAUCUCUGGCCAACUACGUGCCAGCAGCCGCGGUCAUACGUAGGGCGCGCGCGUUCUCCGGAUUUACUGGGUGUAACGGGUGCGUAGGCGGCUCUGCAAGUCAGACGUGAAAUCCAUGGGCUUAACCCGUGAACUGCUUUUGAAACUGCAGGACUGGAGUGGAGUAGAGGUAGGCGGAAUUCCCGGUGUAGCGGUGAAAUGCGUAGAGAUCGGGAGGAACACCAGUGGCGAAGGCGACCUACUGGGCUUUGACUGACGCUGAAGCGCGAAAGCGUGGGUAGCAAACAGGAUUAGAUACCCUUGUAGUC
rnacentral:rRNA from 1 species